CUGUCUCAAUCUUGCUCUACCUUUAAUGCCAACACUUCCCGUGGAAGACUUCAUUUUCUGAUUUGUUCUUGAGGAAAGGACAACAAAUACUUCUCAGAUUUAUCUUUUUCCCAGUCGUUAUUCACAGGAUACAUUUCUUUCAGCUCACAUGAGACAGAGUUCACAUUCUAGCAUUCCUACUUGGCAUAGGUCUUCCUUCUGGAGAACUCCUCCUAGGUGCAGACUUGGGAAGCACAACCCUAUGUGAGCCAGGAUUCUGUCAUAUAUGGACAACAGUCUGCUGCUCUGCUUCCUAAAACUGAAGAAGGAAUGUGAGAUUUGGUGCCAAAGCAUUCAAUUGCUUCAUUGCUACUUGUUGUUACUUAUGUGUGAAAAUGAUGUAAAUUUACCCUGCUGUCCAGAAUUUUAAACACAAACAAAUAAAAGCUUAGUGUUUUCAUUGGGCUUCCCCCCUUGGGAGCAAAACAUGCUUUUUCUAUGUGGGAUGAAUUUUGCACUUCAUUAAAUGCCCCGAUCCUUU